ACAAGCUUUCGGGAGAACCUCCCUUUCUCAAGUCUCAAGACUUGAGAAAGGGAGGUUCUCCCGAAAGCUUG